rnacentral:rRNA from 1 species
AAUGAACGCUGGCGGCAGGCCUAAUACAUGCAAGUCGAGCGGACGAAGGGAGCUCUUUCCUGGAUUCAGUGGGGGACGGGCGAGUAAUGCACACGAAUCUGCCCGGCCGUGGGGGCUAACGUCAGGAAACGGGAGCGAAUAUCGCACACGAUCAGAGGGAGAAACGGAGGGAUCUUCGGUGCACGGCGUCUCAGAUGACCCUAGGUCGGAUUGGCUAGUUGGUGGGGUAAAGGCCUACCAAGGCGACGAUCCGUAGCUGGUCUGAGAGGAUGAUCGGCCACACUGGAACUGAGACACGGUCCAGACUCCUACGGGAGGCAGCAGUGGGGAAUCUUGCGCAAUGGGCGAAAGCCUGAUGCAGCCAUGCCGCGUGUGUGAAGAAGGUCUUCGGAUUGUAAAGCACUUUUAGUUGGGAAGAAGGGCUGUAAGUUUAACCCUUGCUAUUUUGACGUUACCUACAGAGAAAGCACCGGCUAACUACGUG